rnacentral:rRNA from 1 species
CGGUACUCCGAAUGCAUCUAGAUUAUAGUUUGAUCAUUGGCUCAGAAUGAACGCUGGCGGCGUGCUUAACACAUGCAAGUCGAGCGAGGCCUGGGGGGCAACUCCCAGAGUCGAGCGGCGGACGGGUGAGUAACACGUGGGUAACCUGCCCGGAAGUGGGGAAUACCUCGGGGAAACUCGAGCUAAUACCGCAUGACAUCUUUGGGACGAAAGUCCUGACGAUCAAAGCGGGGUCGCAAGAUCUCGCGCUACCGGAUGGGCCCGCGCCCGAUUAGCUAGUUGGUGAGGUAACGGCUCACCAAGGCAACGAUCGGUAACCGGCCUGAGAGGGCGAUCGGUCACACCGGAACUGAGACACGGUUCGGACUCCUACGGGAGGCAGCAGUGGGGAAUCUUGCGCAAUGGGCGAAAGCCUGACGCAGCAACGCCGCGUGGAGGAUGAAGGCCUUUGGGUUGUAAACUCCUGUCGGCUGGGAAGAAAUCGUACGGUG